rnacentral:rRNA from 1 species
GAUGAACGCUGGCGGCGUGCCUAAUACAUGCAAGUCGAGCGAACGGACGCGACGCUUGCUUCUCUGAUGUUAGCGGCGGACGGGUGAGUAACACGUGGAUAACCUACCUAUCAUACUGGUAUAACUUCGGGAAACCGGAGCUAAUACCGGAUAAUAUUUUGAACCGCAUGGUUCAAAAGUGAAAGACGGUCUUGCUGUCACUUAUAGACGGAUCCGCGCUGCAUUAGCUAGUUGGUAAGGUAACGGCUUACCAAGGCAACGAUGCAUAGCCGACCUGAGAGGGUGAUCGGCGACACUGGAACUGAGACACGGUCAAGACUCCUACGGGAGGCAGCAGUAGGGAAUGUUCCGCAAUGGGCGAAAGCCUGACGGAGCAACGCCGCGUGAGUGAUGAAGGUCUUCGGAUCGUAAAACUCUGUUAUUAGGGAAGAACAUAUGUGUAAGUAACUGUGCACAUCGUGACGGUACCUAAUCAGAAAGCAACGGCUAACUACGUG